GAUGAACGCUAGCGGCAGGCUUAAUACAUGCAAGUCGUGGGGCAGCAGGUCUGUAGCAAUACAGAUGCUGGCGACCGGCAAACGGGUGCGGAACACGUACACAACUUUCCUUUAAGUGGGGAAUAGCCCAGAGAAAUUUGGAUUAAUACCCCGUAACAUAGUGAAAAGGCAUCUUUUUAUUAUUAUAGCAGCAAUGCGCUUAAUGAUGGGUGUGCGUCUGAUUAGGUAGUUGGUGGAGUAAUAGCCCACCAAGCCUACGAUCAGUAACUGGUGUGAGAGCACGACCAGUCACACGGGCACUGAGACACGGGCCCGACUCCUACGGGAGGCAGCAGUAAGGAAUAUUGGGCAAUGGACGCAAGUCUGACCCAGCCAUGCCGCGUGGAGGAUGAAGGUCCUCUGGAUUGUAAACUUCUUUUAUCUGGGAAGAAAUCCAUCUUUUCUUGGGUGGUUGACGGUACCAGAUGAAUAAGCACCGGCUAACUCCGUGCCAGCCGCCGCCGUAACAC
rnacentral:rRNA from 1 species